rnacentral:rRNA from 1 species
CGCGAACGGCUCAUUAUAACAGCUAUAAUUUACUUGAUCUUGACUUCCUACUUGGAUAAGUGUGGUAAUUCUAGAGCUAAUACAUGCACCAAAGCUCCGACCUUACGGGAAGAGCGCAUUUAUUCUAACAAAACCAAGCGGCUUCGGCCGUCCGCAGUCGACUCAAAAUAACUAAGCUGAUCGCAUGGUCUUGAACCGGCGACGUGUCUUUCAAGUAUCUGCCUUAUCAACUUUCGAUGGUAGUGUAUCUGACUACCAUGGUGGUGACGGGUAACGGAGGAUAAGGGUUCGACUCCGGAGAAGGGGCCUGAGAAAUGGCCACUACCUCUAAGGAUGGCAGCAGGCGCGCAAAUUACCCACUCUCAUAAUGAGGAGGUAGUGACGAGGAAUAACGAGACCGUUCUCUACCAGGCCGGUCAUCGGAAUGGGUACAAUUUAAACCCUUUAACGAGUAUCUAUGAGAGGGCAAGUCUGGUGCCAGCAGCCGCGGUAAUUCCAGCU